rnacentral:rRNA from 1 species
UACGUAGGGGCCAAGCGUUGUCCGGAUUUAUUGGGCGUAAAGAGCUCGUAGGCGGUUGGGUAAGUCGGGUGUGAAAACUCCAGGCUCAACUUGGAGGUGCCACCCGAUACUGCUCUGACUUGAGUUCGGUAGGGGAGUGGGGAAUUCCUGGUGUAGCGGUGAAAUGCGCAGAUAUCAGGAGGAACACCGGUGGCGAAGGCGCCACUCUGGGCCGAAACUGACGCUGAGGAGCGAAAGCGUGGGUAGCAAACAGG